ACAACCUUAUCUCCUUGCUUCUUUCUUACUCAUUUUUUCCUCCCCUGUUUUAUUUUCUUUAUCAAAAAAGCUACCACUCUAACAUCAGGGGAUUGAGGUUUAAGGUUUGAUGGUUGCAAGCAAUUGUUGAGGCAAAGGACGUGAUUGUUUCUAAUCUCUUCUAUUUUCAUUUGGGCAAUCUAGAUCAGCUCCUCCUAUCUUUUCUCAACACAUGAAUUCACAAUGUUGGGGAACUGCUUUUGAUUGAUCCUGCAACCCUAAAACUCACCAACUUGCGAGCUAUGCGUAUGAAAAUCAGGAACGUUCAUGGAAUUAACUCUAUACCUAGAGUUAUCAAGCUCUUCUCCGGCAAACAGCUUUUUACGGCUCAUAUCAAAGUCACAGGAAGGUCUUCAUCGGCUGACUCUAGUUUUCUCAUCGCACCCCCUGUGUAUACGGAUCUAGAUUUGAAUUCCAUACCAACCACUCGAGAUUCUUCGGAGAUUUUCAGAGCUAAGAAAAGAAAGUAUUUCAAGAAUUUUGA